CAGGCUCCCUGGGCUGGCACCGCCCUAGGCUGGAGAAAGAGGAAACACGUUGGUCUGCGCACUCAGAGCCGAGUCAAAUGUGCAGGAAGAUUCCCCCAAACUGAAAGAAGUAAUGAAAAGAAAACAAAAAAAAUCCUUAAAAAUCGAGUGAAUCAGUUCGUAGAGAAUUGCAGACUAAAGUGGAUAGAUGACCAGAGCUAGAGGAGCCAGAAAAAUACUUAGGGUCAACAGCAAAUUUGAGGCAGUGGAUAUGAGGAUAGAGGAGACACUCCUGAAGACUUCACUUUCUCCAUUUCUGUACUUGAAUUUUUACACCAAGCAUACAGCUUGAAAAAAUUAAAUGAGUAUGCAGUAUUUUAAAAAUCAACAAAAGCUUCACAUUUUAAUUUUCACUUGAAAAAAAAACAUUAGCAUACAGUAAUGUCCUAGGCCUUCACAUUCACUCACCACUCACUGAUUCACCCAGAGCAACUUCCAGUCCUGCAAGCCCCAUUUGUGAGUGGUACUCAGCAGAACAACAACUAUAUCGUAUAAGCUGCAUCAGAGACAAAUGAAGAUGAAAAAACUAUCCUCCUAUAUAACUAAUCUGUGCUGUGCCCCAACAAAGCCUGCUUUAAAUUUCCGUGCCAAUUACAACCCCCAUUCUGUAUCAGGCAAGCCUCACAGGAACAUGCCCUAAAUUCCAAAAUACAGAAAAGGCCAAGGCCAUAAGAAGACUGUCAGAAACAGAAACGAUUUUAAGAGGUUGGAUGCAGUUGAAAGGAUUCAGCCCAUGUUUCUAAUGGCUGCGUAUCAGUGAACAGGUGGUUCAACAACAGGAAAAGUAGCCACAGGGCCACUCACAUAAUACAUAUCCAAGUCAGAGAAUGCUGAUAUAAACCUUGCCCACCUCUCUCAGCCCGUCUUUCUUACUCAGACAAUUUCUGAGCAGCUCUUUGAUGAACACACAAUCUUCAGUUUCCAGGACAAACUGAGCCACAGCCUUCCCUCCUGGCAGAUGGCUCCUCACCAUCUGACUUUUGACACUGUCCAGGACAACUCCCCUGAUGUCUUUAGGCUUUCCUGGCAUACCAAAGAUGAUAAACAGACCCAGGCAAUCCUCUCCUAUUAAGUUACAGAAUUCUUCCAGCUUAUCAAAUCUACUUUUCUUCCAGGAAGACUCCUCUACCCUUGAUUCUGGAUUGGAAAGGUCACAAGGCUUAGAUUCCACAGGAGGAGGUGAAGACAUCUGCAGAGUCUGUACUGCGAGCUGAAGCUUUAUUUGCUUGUUGGAUCCCCAAAAGGUCCAAAUCCAGUCUGCACCAAACAGGAAGGCUUGGUGCUUGGUCAUCUUGGUGGUGGUCAGCCACUCAUCAACUCCCUUUUCUUGGCAGAAAGUGAUGAAAUGGAUUAAGAAGAUCUCAUUCAGAGUAUUUGCAGCUGGGCAGAGUUUACUUGGAGGAUAUUCAAAUCCAAGGUACUCCUUCAGUUUCUGAGCUGCAUGGACUAUAGCUUCACUGACCACCUCACAGACGACGGGCACCUCUUUGCUGUCCUUCAGAGCCAACUGUUGCGAUGCUUUCUGCCCCAUUUUCUCUGCAUCCAAAUAUCAAACAUGUGAAUCUGGUUCAGACGUACUUCUUUUUCAAAGUAAAAGUUCUGCAGGGAGGCCACAUCUGUUAAUGGUUCAUGUUUUUCUAACUCUACAGCUUCCUCGGGUGUAGUUAAGCAUAUAUACAUACAGCUAAAUAAACAUGUUAGUUCU
rnacentral:lncRNA from 1 species